rnacentral:rRNA from 1 species
AUUGGAAACGAUGGCUAAUACCGCAUAAUGCCUACGGGCCAAAGAGGGGGACCUUCGGGCCUCUCGCGUCAGGAUAUGCCUAGGUGGGAUUAGCUAGUUGGUGAGGUAAUGGCUCACCAAGGCGACGAUCCCUAGCUGGUCUGAGAGGAUGAUCAGCCACACUGGAACUGAGACACGGUCCAGACUCCUACGGGAGGCAGCAGUGGGGAAUAUUGCACAAUGGGCGCAAGCCUGAUGCAGCCAUGCCGCGUGUGUGAAGAAGGCCUUCGGGUUGUAAAGCACUUUCAGUCGUGAGGAAGGUGGUGUAGUUAAUAGCUGCAUUAUUUGACGUUAGCGACAGAAGAAGCACCGGCUAACUCCGUGCCAGCAGCCGCGGUAAUACGGAGGGUGCGAGCGUUAAUCGGAAUUACUGGGCGUAAAGCGCAUGCAGGUGGUUUGUUAAGUCAGAUGUGAAAGCCCGGGGCUCAACCUCGGAAUAGCAUUUGAAACUGGCAGACUAGAGUACUGUAGAGGGGGGUAGAAUUUCAGGUGUAGCGGUGAAAUGCGUAGAGAUCUGAAGGAAUACCGGUGGCGAAGGCGGCCCCCUGGACAGAUACUGACACUCAGAUGCGAAAGCGUGGGGAGCAAACAGGAUUAGAUACCCUGGUAGUCCACGCCGUAAACGAUGUCUACUUGGAGGUUGUGGCCUUGAGCCGUGGCUUUCGGAGCUAACGCGUUAAGUAGACCGCCUGGGGAGUACGGUCGCAAGAUUAAAACUCAAAUGAAUUGACGGGGGCCCGCACAAGCGGUGGAGCAUGUGGUUUAAUUCGAUGCAACGCGAAGAACCUUACCUACUCUUGACAUCCAGAGAACUUUCCAGAGAUGGAUUGGUGCCUUCGGGAACUCUGAGACAGGUGCUGCAUGGCUGUCGUCAGCUCGUGUUGUGAAAUGUUGGGUUAAGUCCCGCAACGAGCGCAACCCUUAUCCUUGUUUGCCAGCGAGUAAUGUCGGGAACUCCAGGGAGACUGCCGGUGAUAAACCGGAGGAAGGUGGGGACGACGUCAAGUCAUCAUGGCCCUUACGAGUAGGGCUACACACGUGCUACAAUGGCGCAUACAGAGGGCAGCAAGCUAGCGAUAGUGAGCGAAUCCCAAAAAGUGCGUCGUAGUCCGGAUUGGAGUCUGCAACUCGACUCCAUGAAGUCGGAAUCGCUAGUAAUCGUGGAUCAGAAUGCCACGGUGAAUACGUUCCCGGGCCUUGUACACACCGCCCGU